GAUGAACGCUGGCGGCGUGCCUAAUACAUGCAAGUCGAGCGAACAGACGAGGAGCUUGCUCCUCUGACGUUAGCGGCGGACGGGUGAGUAACACGUGGAUAACCUACCUAUAAGACUGGGAUAACUUCGGGAAACCGGAGCUAAUACCGGAAAAUAUAUUGAACCGCAGGGUUCAAUAGUGAAAGACGGUUUUGCUGUCACUUAUAGAUGGAUCCGCGCCGCAUUAGCUAGUUGGUAAGGUAACGGCUUACCAAGGCAACGAUGCGUAGCCGACCUGAGAGGGUGAUCGGCCACACUGGAACUGAGACACGGUCCAGACUCCUACGGGAGGCAGCAGUAGGGAAUCUUCCGCAAUGGGCGAAAGCCUGACGGAGCAACGCCGCGUGAGUGAUGAAGGUCUUCGGAUCGUAAAACUCUGUUAUUAGGGAAGAACAAAUGUGUAAGUAACUAUGCACGUCUUGACGGUACCUAAUCAGAAAGCCACGGCUAACUACGUG
rnacentral:rRNA from 1 species